AGAGUUUGAUCCUGGCUCAGGACGAACGCUGGCGGCGUGCCUAACACAUGUAAGUCGAGCGGAGAAAAUUGAAGGAUUUAUCUUGAUAUUUUCUUAGCGGCGGACGGGUGAGUAACGCGUAGACAACCUACCUUCUAGAUGGGGACAAUACUGCGAAAGUGGUGCUAAUACCGAAUGUUGUAUUAAGGGUGCAUAUCCUAAAUACUAAAGGUGGCCUCUAUUUAUAAGCUAUCACUAGAAGAUGGGUCUGCGUCUGAUUAGCUAGUUGGUGAGGUAACGGCUCACCAAGGCGACGAUCAGUAGCCGGUCUGAGAGGAUGAACGGCCACACUGGGACUGAGACACGGCCCAGACUCCUACGGGAGGCAGCAGUGGGGAAUCUUCCGCAAUGGACGAAAGUCUGACGGAGCAACGCCGCGUGAGUGAAGAAGGUUUUCGGAUCGUAAAACUCUGUUUUCAGGGACGAAUGUGCCGAUUGUAAAUAAUGGUUGGUAAUGACGGUACCUGACAAGAAAGCCACGGCUAACUACGUGCCAGCAGCCGCGGUAAUACGUAGGUGGCAAGCGUUGUCCGGAAUUAUUGGGCGUAAAGCGCGCGCAGGUGGGAUAAUAAGUCUGAUGUUAAAGUUCGGGGCUCAACCCCGUGAAGCAUUUGGAUACUGUUAUUCUUGAGUGCAGGAGAGGAAAGUGGAAUUCCUAGUGUAGCGGUGAAAUGCGUAGAUAUUAGGAGGAACACCAGUGGCGAAGGCGACUUUCUGGACUGUGUCUGACACUGAGGCGCGAAAGCCAGGGUAGUGAACGG
rnacentral:rRNA from 1 species